CCAAAUGUCCCAAAUGACCCCAAAUGUGCCCCCCCCAAAAUGGCCCCAAAUGUCCCAAAUGACCCCAAAUGCCCCCCCCCAAAUGGCCCCAAAUGUCCCAAAUGACCCAAAUGACCCCAAAUGUGCCCCCCAAAAUGGCCCCAAAUGUCCCAAAUGACCCCAAAUAUCCCCCCCAAAAUGGCCCCAAAUUGUCCCAAAUGACCCCAAAUGUCCCCCCCAAAAUGGCCCCAAAUGUCCCAAAUGACCCCAAAUGUGCCCCCCAAAGUGGCCCCAAAUGUCCCAAAUGACCCCAAAUAUCCCCCCC
ensembl:lncRNA